UACGGAGGGAGCUAGCGUUAUUCGGAAUUACUGGGCGUAAAGCGCACGUAGGCGGCUUUGUAAGUAAGAGGUGAAAGCCUGGAGCUCAACUCCAGAACUGCCUUUUAGACUGCAUCGCUUGAAUCCAGGAGAGGUGAGUGGAAUUCCGAGUGUAGAGGUGAAAUUCGUAGAUAUUCGGAAGAACACCAGUGGCGAAGGCGGCUCACUGGACCGGAACUGACGCUGAGGCGCGAAAGCGUGGGGAGCAAACGGG
rnacentral:rRNA from 1 species